rnacentral:tRNA from 1 species
UGCGGAAUGGUGUAACGGUAGCACAUAUGACUCUGACUCAUAUUGUCUAGGUUCGAAUCCUAGUUCCGCAGCCA